AUUGAACGCUAGCGGGAUGCCUUACACAUGCAAGUCGAACGGAGUGGCGAACGGGUGAGUAAUGUAUCGGAACGUGCCCAGUAGCGGGGGAUAACUACGCGAAAGCGUAGCUAAUACCGCAUACUAUUGGAGCGGCCGAUAUCGGAUUCGCUAGGUGGUGGGGUAACGGCUCACCAGGCGGUCGAUCCGUAGCUGGUUUGAGAGGACGACCAGCCACACUGGGACUGAGACACGGCCCAGACUCCUACGGGAGGCAGCAUGGGGGAAUUUUGGACAAUGGGGGAAACCCUGAUCCAGCCAUCCCGCGUGUGCGAUGAAGGCCUUCGGGUUUUAAAGCACUUGUGGCAGGAAAGCGGUACCUGCAGAUUAAGCACGGGCGAACUAUGUACCAGCAGCCGCGUUAAUAC
rnacentral:rRNA from 1 species